UCCUCCUACAAAGGCAUGUUUUUUGUUCCCUGUCCUUGGACAGGUAAGAAUCCUAGGCAAAGAAAUGCGGUGAAUUUGGAAAGGUCUGGGACCAGCUCGCCGCCUCCCCCCCCCCCCCCCCCCCCCCCCAUGUUCAGGAUCAACUAUCCCACAGAG